ACGCGAGGAACCUUACCAGGUCUUGACAUCCUCUGACACUCCUAGAGAUAGGACGUUCCCCUUCGGGGGACAGAGUGACAGGUGGUGCAUGGUUGUCGUCAGCUCGUGUCGUGAGAUGUUGGGUUAAGUCCCGCAACGAGCGCAACCCUUGAUCUUAGUUGCCAGCAUUAAGUUGGGCACUCUAAGGUGACUGCCGGUGACAAACCGGAGGAAGGUGGGGAUGACGUCAAAUCAUCAUGCCCCUUAUGACCUGGGCUACACACGUGCUACAAUGGAUGGUACAAAGGGCAGCAAAACCGCGAGGUCGAGCAAAUCCCAUAAAACCAUUCUCAGUUCGGAUUGUAGGCUGCAACUCGCCUACAUGAAGCUGGAAUCGCUAGUAAUCGCGGAUCAGCAUGCCGCGGUGAAUACGUUCCCGGGCCUUGCACACACCGCCCGU
rnacentral:rRNA from 1 species